rnacentral:rRNA from 1 species
CCUACGGGCGGCAGCAGUGAGGAAUAUUGGUCAAUGGACGAGAGUCUGAACCAGCCAAGUAGCGUGAAGGAUGACUGCCCUAUGGGUUGUAAACUUCUUUUAUAUGGGAAUAAAAUGUUCCACGUGUGGGAUUUUGUAUGUACCAUAUGAAUAAGGAUCGGCUAACUACGUGCCAGCAGCCGCGGUAAUACGGAGGAUCCGAGCGUUAUCCGGAUUUAUUGGGUUUAAAGGGAGCGUAGGUGGAUUGUUAAGUCAGUUGUGAAAGUUUGCGGCUCAACCGUAAAAUUGCAGUUGAAACUGGCAGUCGUGAGUACAGUAGAGGUGAGCGGAAUUCGUGGUGUAGCGGUGAAAUGCUUAGAUAUCACGAAGAACUCCGAUGGCGAAGGCAGCUCACUGGACUGCAACUGACACUGAGGCUCGAAAGUGUGGGUAUCAAACAGGAUUAGAUACCCCAGUAGUC